AGGUGGCAGCAGGGGAGGGGGAGCCCUGUGGAUGGGAGGGACGUCCAGACAGAGGGAAGGAGGUGACAAAGGACAAAGCAGAGAAGGGCCUUUAAAACAUGAGAGUUCUUCAAAAACAUAAGAGUUGCACCAAAUGAUCCACUGGUGCUGAAAUGAAGGCGCUCUCUCCAGUUGGCGCUUCUUCACAGGUGGAGCUGGAAAAGGGCCAUGGAAGCCCCGUCAUGUUCUUGCUGACAGACACGAAUACCACGUGCUGAAAACCUCGCCCUGGGGAGAAUUCUGCCUUUGAUUCUUGUGAACCAGCAAAUGGAAAUCA